rnacentral:rRNA from 1 species
GAUGAACGCUGGCGGCGUGCCUAAUACAUGCAAGUCGAGCGAACAGACGAGGAGCUUGCUCCUCUGACGUUAGCGGCGGACGGGUGAGUAACACGUGGAUAACCUACCUAUAGGACUGGGAUAACUUCGGGAAACCGGAGCUAAUACCGGAUAAUAUAUUGAACCGCAUGGUUCAAUAGUGAAAGACGGUUUUGCUGUCACUUAUAGAUGGAUCCGCGCCGCAUUAGCUAGUUGGUAAGGUAACGGCUUACCAAGGCGACGAUGCGUAGCCGACCUGAGAGGGUGAUCGGCCACACUGGCACUGAGACACGGUCCAGACUCCUACGGGAGGCAGCAGUAGGGAAUCUUCCGCAAUGGGCGAAAGCCUGACGGAGCAACGCCGCGUGAGUGAUGAAGGUCUUCGGAUCGUAAAACUCUGUUAUUAGGGAAGAACAAAUGUGUAAGUAACUAUGCACGUCUUGACGGUACCUAAUCAGAAAGCCACGGCUAACUACGUG